ensembl:lncRNA
CUCCAGUAUUUGUACAUUUCCACUACUGUUUUGGUGUGAUUGUUUCAUUCUGCUGCAAUUGUGAUAUUGCAGCAGCCACACAGAGUGAGUGGACAUGCUUGUCUUCUCUUUUUUGCUAUCCCCAAGCAGGGGAACAUCGCAUGGACACAUGAGUUGGUGAGGAUGUGUAUGAGAGGAUUGGAACUGGCAACUUUUGUAUGCUGUGGAUUUUUAUGGGUUCUUUUUUUUUCAGCUCACUGCUGGUGGGAACUUUUGACAUGGGCAAAAAAGGAUCUUCUUACUUUACAAAGUAAGAAGAUCCUUACUUUGAAUGCGAUUUCCUCCUUCUUGGCAGGGGGUUGGACUGGAUGGCCCAUGAGGUCUCUUCCAACUCUAUUAUUCUAUGAUUCUAUCAUUGUUAUUAUUGUAAUUGUUUUUUUUGGAGGCCAAGUGUGAAUGUAGGGAUUGGGGAGGUGGAUGAGUUGUGUUGUCAAGUUUCGUAUUUCUGGGGCGUUUAGUUGUGUUGUUAUAGUCACAAUGCGUUGUUGUGAGUUUUGUGGGUCCUGUGUGGUUUUGUGGUGUAGUUGUGUUGUUACAACUGGGAGGCAAGGCUUUUGCAUUGUGUUGCCAAGUUUUGUAUUUCUGGGGCGUUUAGUUGUGUUGUUAUCGCAUGAUGCGCUGUUGUGAGUUUUGUGGGUCUGGAUUGUGGUUUUGUGGUGUGGUUGUGUUGUUGUAACCUGGAGGCAAGCCUUUUGCAUUGUGUUGCCAAAUUUCGUAUUUCUGGGAUGUUUAGUUUUGUUGUUAUAGUCACUGCGCAAACAACUUUAUCAUUUUAUAUAUAUAGAUAGAAUCAUGUAGACAUAAAUGGCCACAAGGGCCAUCCACUUCAACCCCCCCCCCCCCGGCCGUGGAGGAACACACAAUCAAAACACUCCCAACAAACUCUCCAUAGUAGGAGACUUCACUAUGCUCUGAAGACGCAACAUAUUCUGCUGAUAACUGCUCUUACCAUCAGGAAGUUCUUCCUAAUGUAUAGGUGGAAUAUUCUUUCCUUCAAGUUAAAUUCAUUGAGCUGAGUCCUCGUCUCCAGAGUGGCAGAAAAGAAGCCUGCCCCCUCCUCAAUAUGACAUUAUUUCAAAUACGUAAACAUGGUUAUCAUAUCCCCUCUCAGCCUUCUUUUUUCCAAACUAAACACUCCCAGCUCCAAGGGUAGUAAUAGGCUGAAUGCAAGAGAGUGUGAACACAAUGACUGUUCGUUUCUCCUCAUAUUGUAUUUGGAUGUGAGAUAUUAUGACAGAUGCCAAACAGGGUUUGUCUGGAAACUUCCACUUCCAUGUUGAUUGGGGGUUCAUUAGGAUGAUGAUGAAAUGGCCCAUCCCAUCAUCCUAAUAUUUUAAACAAAGCCUAACAGAAUUAGAAAAUAAUAUGUUACAUAAUGAUUAUAACCAAAACUCCAGGGUAACGAGAGCUACUAGCAAGCAUCUUGUUAAAUACAAAUAAUCAUUUGUUUCCCAAAGAUAAUGCUCAAAACUCUGGCAUCGAAUUACAUAAUACAUUCUUUAAAAAUCAGUUCCAUAGUCAUGAGCAUUUUUAUUAAGAAAUAAUGUCUAAAUUUGUGUUAAAUAGGGAUUGCUGUCAGGCAAGAGCUCAGGUUAACAGCCUUAAUGAAUCAUUUCCUAUUUCUUGGCUUUAAUUACUCAUUCAUUUUCCAAUUCUUCAUUUAUCAGCACAAUUAGAAAGAUCCACUUUGAAUCCUGUGCUGGAAGUAAGGAAAAGAAAGAAAGAAAGAAAGAAAGAAAGAAGAAGAAGAAAGAGGAAGGAAGGGAGGAGCCAUAAUAGGGGAUGACUCAGAAAAGAGGUACAGUAGAGUCCCGCUUAUCCGACACUCCGUAUUAUCCAAGGCAAAUUUCUUCCCUCGCUCUCUCUCUCUCACACACACUUACCCUUCCGGGUCCCAGUGCUGUCGGAACCCAGCCGGGUGAUUGAGCGAGGGACGGAGGGUGGGUGAGUGAAGGAGGGCAGCAAAGGCCCUCCCUCACUCACUUGCUUGCUCGCUCUUUCACCAGGCCAGGCCCUGGUGCUGCCGGGAACUGGCAUGCUGAAGGAGUUGAGAGACAAAGGGUAGGCGAGCAAAGGAGGGCGGCAAAGGCCCUCCCUCGCUCUCUCACUUACUCACCCUGCCAGGUCCUGGUGCUGCCGUCGCUGCUGCUGAGACCCGGCCUGGUAAAUGAGUGAGGGAUGGAGGGUGGGCGAGUGAGCACCCACCCUGUUAUCCGUCAGUUUUGCUUAUCCCUCAUUCUGCCUGCCAGUUUAUGAUGGAUAAGCGAGACUACUGUAGUUGCAGUAUGACACAACAAGGUUUGAAAGUUUAACAGUGGGUCGAGAAUGUGAAAGGGUUGCGUGUUUCUUGCUAAGACAGAACCUUUGCCCACUCCCAUCUAAACAGAAGAUGAGGAAUUUAGCUAGAAAAAAGACAAGAUAGUUAAAGAACUCUCUGGAAUGUAAUAGAUUCAUAAUUAUGUUAUUUGCACUGAGUCUGUUUUAGCUGCAUAUAGUCCUAAGCAUGCUCACUAUUUUAGUAAUCAAUUGGAUAGCCACUGGCCCAUGAUAAAAACUGAGGUGUCCUUUCAAACAAGGUUUUCAUUUUUUCCUACCAUAGUCACAAAUAUUUUUUCUACUUACAAUACUUUCACAUUUUUUCAGAUAAAGAUGAAGGUAGGUAAGCCACAGGUACUCAAGCAGAAGUUCUCCUUUUGAGGAGGUCCUUGUUUAUGAGAUAUCCUUCAUUCAUAGGGAGACUUCCCUUGCAAUGGAGAAUUAUCUGCAGCUGACAUCUCUGAAGCUAGGAGCACUUCCAUCUCCAUUUUUGACAUUGUAUUACAGCUUGACAUGCCUUGGUUGGAGAAACUACAGCUUUAUGUUUUUUGUUUUGCUGAUCAAAGCCUGUACCUCCAUUCCGUACAUUCCUAGUUUG